rnacentral:rRNA from 1 species
GUGUCAGCCGCCGCGGUAACACGUAGGAUCCAAGCGUUAUCCGGAUUUACUGGGCGUAAAGCGCGUGCAGGUGGUUUGGUAAGUUGGGUGUUAAAUCUUUCGGCUCAACCGAGAGGUGUCGCUCAAAACUACCAGACUGGAGGACGGUAGAGGUAGGUAGAAUUCCGGGUGUAGUGGUGAAAUGCGUAGAUAUCCGGAGGAAUACCAGUGGCGAAGGCGGCCUACUGGACCGUUCCUGACACUCAGACGCGAAAGCUAGGGGAGCAAACGGGAUUAGAAACCCUCGUAGUCC